rnacentral:tRNA from 1 species
GGUUUUAUAGUUUAAUUAAAAUAUUAAAUUGCAAAUUUAAAGAUAAAAUUAUGAAUUUUUAAAACUU